AUUGAACGCUGGCGGCAUGCCUUACACAUGCAAGUCGAACGGCAGCACGGGUGCUUGCACCUGGUGGCGAGUGGCGAACGGGUGAGUAAUACAUCGGAACAUGUCCUGUAGUGGGGGAUAGCCCGGUGAAAGCCGGAUUAAUACCGCAUACGAUCUACGGAUGAAAGCGGGGGACCUUCGGGCCUCGCGCUAUAGGGUUGGCCGAUGGCUGAUUAGCUAGUUGGUGGGGUAAAGGCCUACCAAGGCGACGAUCAGUAGCUGGUCUGAGAGGACGACCAGCCACACUGGGACUGAGACACGGCCCAGACUCCUACGGGAGGCAGCAGUGGGGAAUUUUGGACAAUGGGCGAAAGCCUGAUCCAGCAAUGCCGCGUGUGUGAAGAAGGCCUUCGGGUUGUAAAGCACUUUUGUCCGGAAAGAAAUCCUUGGCCCUAAUACGGUCGGGGGACGACGGUACCGGAAGAAUAAGCACCGGCUAACUACGUG
rnacentral:rRNA from 1 species